rnacentral:misc_RNA from 1 species
GAUGAAGAACGGUAGCGAAAUGCGAUAAGUAGUGUGAAUUGCAGAAUUCAGUGAAUCAUCGAAUCUUUGAACGCACAUUGCGCCCCAUGGUAUUCCGUGGGGCAUGCCUGUUCGAGCGUCAUUUACCCCCUCAAGCUCCGCUUGGUGUUGGGCGUCUGUCCCGCUUCGCGCGCGGACUCGCCCCAAAGGUAUUGGCAGCGGUCGUGCCAGCUUCUCGCGCAGCACAUUGCGCUUCUCGAGGCACCGGUGGGCCCGCGUCCAUCAAGCUCACCCCCCCAGUUUGACCUCGGAUCAGGUAGGGAUACCCGCUGAACUUAAGCAUAUCAAUAAGCGGAGGA